CCCACACAAACGUGAGAAGAACAGAUCUGGACUCAGCCUGUUGGAGAUGGACUCUCCUCCACUCUGGAGUCAGACAGGACAGACAUGAAGGAAUUAAAGC